rnacentral:tRNA from 1 species
GGGCCGUUAGCUCAAUUGGUAGAGCGACAGACUCUUAAUCUGCAGGUUGUUGGUUCGAUUCCAACACGGCCCACCA